CAGGAGUUGAGCAGUGUGAGUGCUGGCGGCCUUCAAGGCAACAAUGAAGACAGCGCUGGUCAUCCUGUGUGGUGCAUCCAGGAGACCUAGGGGCACACGCCUGCCUGGGGGUCUGAGGAAGCCUUGGGGGAUGAAAACCUGUUUUUGUAUUGAAUUGCUUCUUCUUAAAGACCAGCAUCAACCUGAUCAUGCUCCCCCCCGCAUGUGAAACGGAACGGGCACGCCACGAUAAGUAGUAAUGAGCCUUUUUGGCAGCCUUCUGUUUUAACAAAAAAACGCUGCUGUUUGGCAUUGAAGUUUGCUUGUGUUUAAGCUCGCGGUGGAACAGACUACAACCCCUCUCUGUUUGUAACCUGGCUUUAUAAUUUUGUUAUUAUUUAAAGCCUCCCUUUCAGCGAUUUUUUAAAACCAAAACAUAUGCUGGCUAAUGUCAUCUGGAAACUGAAAGUCGAUGUUCAGCAACUCUCACUCGCCAAUCCUACAACUUGGGUGUCACCAUGUUGGCCAGACUGGUCUUGAACUCCUGACAUCAGGCGAUCCACCUGCCUCGGCCUCCCAAAGUGCUGGGAUUACAGGUGCUGUUUGUUUAAUUUGAGUCCAGUCUCUAAGAAUAAGUAAUGAACUCAUCUUGGGCACCAGCCAGAGCCUACAACUCUGAGACGACCCGUAAACCCCUUUCCCUUUCCUUCUGGUUCUGGAAGGGAUUCUGUAGUUCAAAGGCUAUGUGAUAAGGACCAGGAGCCAUGACCCACUAAAACUUUAAACAUCUAACCCCAGAACUGGUUGCACUUGAGUCCAAAGCAGCAUUGUCUCUUGCAAACAAGUUCAGUUUGCACUUUAAGCUCCUCCCUUGCUGGCCUGAUGGUUUAGUGACCUUGAGAACUGGCCCCAUUGAUUCUGAAGGGAGUGACCUAAAUGCAGCCUUUGGGCUUGGUUCAGUAUAUUCGUAUAUUGAAGUGUAUUAGUCUUUCCUGACACUACUAUAAAGAACUACCUGAGGCUGGGUAAUUUUUAAAGAAAAUAGGUUUAAUUGGCUCAUGGUUCCACAGGCUGUACAUGAAGCAUGGCUGGGGAGGCCUCAGGAAACUUACAAUCACAGCAGAAGGUGAAGGGGAAGCAGGCACAUCAUCCCUGGCUGGAGAAGGAGGAAGAGAGUGAAGGGGGAAGUGCCAUGUACUUUUAACCAACUAGAUCUAGUGAGAACUCAUGAGAACAGCAAGGGGGAAGACCGCUCCCAUGAUCCAAUCACCUCCCUCCAGACCCCUCCCUCCAUCAUCAAGGAUUACAAUUCCACAUGAGAUUUGGGUGGGGACACACAGCCAAACCAUAUCAUGUAGCUUCCCCUCAUUCUCCCUUUCCAUACAUUUAUCCUUAAGAAGUUAACCAGGCAGCUGGGCGCAGUGGCUCAUGCCUGUAAUCCUAUCACUUUGGGAGGCCAAGGUGGGCAGAUCACCUGAGGUCCAGAGUUCGAGACCAGCCUGGCCAACAUGGUGAAACCCCAUCUCUACUAAAAAUACAAAAAUUAGCCAGGCAUGGUAGUACACACUUGUAAUUCUAGCUAGUCAGGAGGCUGAGGCGUGAGAAUCACUUGAACCCAGGAGGCGGAGGUUGCAGUGAGCCAAGAUCGCGCCAUUGCACUCCAGCCUGGGUGACAGAGUGAGACUCUGUCUCAACAACAACAACAACAAAAAAGAAAAAAAAAAAAGAAGGUAACCAGGCUUCUCUGAGAAGGCAAAGAUCAGUGUCCAUUCAUUCAUUUCUCUCAAUAUCUGUGGCCCCUCUACUCUAUGCCAGAUACUACUGUGGGCACAGGAGACACCUUGAUGAAAGGGACAAGGUGGUGGUGAGGUGAUACCUGACAGAGAAAACAUUUAGCCUCCCUUCUUUCUUCCAUUCAUCCAUUCUUCCAUUCAAAAAGUAUUUAUGAUGCGUGGUCUAUGUGUUAGGCACAGGACUGGGUGACAAAAUACAGCAGUGAGCAAAAGAGAUUGCGCCUUGCCCUUGAGUAGUUUGGAGUCCAAUGGGGAAGAUGGAUAUUAAUGAAAUAAUCACCUAAAUAAAGAUAGCAUGACAAAUGAUGGAGAGCUUGUGAGACAAAGGUCAAGGGGCCAUGUGAGAGUGUAAGAGAGGGAUAGGCCUGGUUGGGUAGGCAGAGAAUGGACGAAGACUAGGCAUACUUGAGAUGCCCACAGUGGUGUGUUGUCUGUAGAGUACAGGGACAACCGACGGCUCUCUGUAGAAGGUGUGCUUUUGAGUUUCUAUUAGCCGAUUGGGGCCAUCCACACUCUCACCUGAUUGUCCUGAGGACUGUCACAGGCUGAUAGGUCUCAGGGAGAGUUCGGCCCACAAAUGAGGGUUCCACCUGGGUGAUCAGCACAUUAGGGUUGUGACCUUGACUUACGGGUUUGCAGUGGACAGCGUGACAGAUAAAAAGACACUCUUCUCAUUCUACCUCAUUUGGGUAAAGGAGUAAACAAUAGCAUCAUCCCAUGACAUCAUUUUCAGACGUUUGCCUGUAUAUGGUGGCUCUAUCACCACACUCAGAGACCAGGAUAGAAAGAUGGCCCCACGUUCCCCUCUGCAGUUUCACGCAGACAUGGGGAGCAUCUCAAAUGUCCACAUGCAAUGGCUUUGGAAAGAAAAUUCUCAAAGAAGCAGUUAGCAUCAUGUAGUAUCUUUCUGUACUAAUGUGAGGGCAACUUUGAGACAAUCCCUUCAGCAGAGAGCUUUAGUUUAUUUGAAAAAAUACUACUGUAUUUUGUCUCUUUUAUGCCCAGUGUUUUGUAGGCACCAAGUAAAAGCCAAGAAAAAUGUAAGAAAUUGCCCUGCCCUGAAAAAGUUUACAAGGACAUUCAGAAAAGAAUUUUCAGCUAGGCGUGGCGGCUCAUGCCUUUAAUCUUAACACUUUGGGAGGCUGAAGCAAGAGGAUCACUUGAGCCCAGGGGUUCAAACCAGCCUGGGUAACACAGUGAGACUCUAUCUCUACC